rnacentral:rRNA from 1 species
UACGUAGGAAGCAAGCGUUGUCCGGAAUUACUGGGCGUAAAGGGUGCGUAGGCGGUCUUUUAAGUCUGAUGUGAAAUCCUGUGGCUUAACCAUAGAACUGCAUCAGAUACUGGGGGACUGGAGUGCGGAAGAGGUUGACGGAAUUACUAGUGUAGCGGUAGAAUGCGUAGAUAUUAGUAAGAAGACCGGAGGCGAAGGCGGUCAACUGGGACGUAACUGACGCUGAGGCACGAAAGCGUGGGGAGCAAACAGG